rnacentral:rRNA from 2 species
GCGGAGGGAUCAUUACAGAGUUGCAAAACUCCCACAAACCAUCGCGAAUCUUACCCGUACGGUUGCCUCGGCGCUGGCGGUCCGGAAAGGCCCUCGGGCCCUCCCGGAUCCUCGGGUCUCCCGCUCGCGGGAGGCUGCCCGCCGGAGUGCCGAAACUACAAACUCUUGAUAUUUUAUGUCUCUCUGAGUAAACUUUUAAAUAAGUCAAAACUUUCAACAACGGAUCUCUUGGUUCUGGCAUCGAUGAAGAACGCAGCGAAAUGCGAUAAGUAAUGUGAAUUGCAGAAUUCAGUGAAUCAUCGAAUCUUUGAACGCACAUUGCGCUCGCCAGUAUUCUGGCGAGCAUGCCUGUUCGAGCGUCAUUUCAACCAUCAAGCUCUGCUUGCGUUGGGGAUCCGCGGCUGCCCGCGGUCCCUCAAAAUCAGUGGCGGGCUCGCUAGUCACACCGAGCGUAGUAACUCUACAUCGCUAUGGUCGUGCGGCGGGUUCUUGCCGUAAAACCCCCCAUUUCUAAGGUUGACCUCGGAUCAGGUAGGAAUACCCGCUGAACUUAAGCAUAUCAAUAAGCGGAGGA